UGACUAAAACAGUAGUUAAAACUUAGGGCAGAACUCCGGCUGGGCUGUAAAAAGCCAUAAGCCACAAUAAUCACCGCCCCUAACCCCACACAAAUUUGACUCAUGAAAGCUAGGAUACAAACUAAGAUUAGAUACCCUACUAUGCCUAGCCGUAACACACAAUUAAAUAACCAAUUGUUCGCCAAACAACUACGAGCUAUACUUGAAACUUAAAAGACUUGACGGUACUUCAUCACGGCCUAGAGGAGCCUGUCUAAUAACCGACAAUCCACGAUUAACCCAACCCCUUCUUGCCCAACAGUCUAUAUACCGCCGUCGCCAGCUUACCUUGUAAAAGAAAUAAAGUGAGCUAAAUAAUACAACACUAAAACGACAGGUCGAGGUGUAACUUAUGAAGGGGCCAAGAUGGGCUACAUUCUCUCCGAGAAUACGAAUAACACUAUGAAAUUAGUGCUUGAAGGCGGAUUUAGCAGUAAGCUAAGAAUAAAAUACUUAACUGAACAUAACGCAAUGAAGUGCGUACACACCGCCCGUCAUCCCUGCCAUCAUAAUAUAAACCUUAAUAAACCAACUUAAGAGCUAAUUCAGGGCAAGUCGU
rnacentral:rRNA from 1 species